CCUACGGGAGGCAGCAGUAAGGAAUAUUGGACAAUGGGCGAAAGCCUGAUCCAGCCAUGCCGCGUGAAGGAUUAAGGCCCUCUGGGUUGUAAACUUCUUUUAUAGGGGACGAAAAAAGGGAAUUCUUUCCCUCCUGACGGUACCCUAUGAAUAAGCACCGGCUAACUCCGUGCCAGCAGCCGCGGUAAUACGGAGGGUGCAAGCGUUAUCCGGAUUCACUGGGUUUAAAGGGUGCGUAGGCGGGUAGGUAAGUCAGUGGUGAAAUCUCGAAGCUUAACUUCGAAACUGCCAUUGAUACUAUUUAUCUUGAAUAUUGUGGAGGUUUGCGGAAUAUGUCAUGUAGCGGUGAAAUGCUUAGAUAUGACAUAGAACACCUAUUGCGAAGGCAGCAGGCUACGCAUAUAUUGACGCUGAGGCACGAAAGCGUGGGGAUCAAACAGGAUUAGAUACCCUGGUAGUCCACGCCCUAAACGAUGAUUACUCGACAUUUGUGAUACACUAUAAGUGUCUGAGCGAAAGCAUUAAGUAAUCCACCUGGGAAGUACGACCGCAAGGUUGAAACUUCAAAGGAAUUGACGG
rnacentral:rRNA from 1 species